UACGUAGGGGGCGAGCGUUGUCCGGAUUUAUUGGGCGUAAAGAGCGUGUAGGCGGCCAGGUAGGUCUGCUGUGAAAACUCGAGGCUCAACCUCGAGACGUCGGCGGAAACCAUCUGGCUAGAGUCCGGAAGAGGAGAGUGGAAUUCCUGGUGUAGCGGUGAAAUGCGUAGAUAUCAGGAGGAACACCGGUGGUGUAGACGGCUUUCUGGACCGUAACUGACGCUGAGACACGAAAGCGUGGGUAGCAAACAGG
rnacentral:rRNA from 1 species